ACCUUUUGAGACGGGUUUGAUGCGGGAUCUGAGUUGUUCUGAGAUUAUACUGUCUGAACUUGAUCUAGAUAAUUCUAGCGAAAGGACAUGCGCGGCUUUGAUU
rnacentral:ncRNA from 5 species